rnacentral:rRNA from 1 species
UGCAAGUCGUACGCUUCUUUUUCCCCGGAGCUUGCUCCACCGGAAAAAGAAGAGUGGCGAACGGGUGAGUAACACGUGGGUAACCUGCCCAUCAGAAGGGGAUAACACUUGGAAACAGGUGCUAAUACCGUAUAACAAUCGAAACCGCAUGGUUUUGAUUUGAAAGGCGCUUUCGGGUGUCGCUGAUGGAUGGACCCGCGGUGCAUUAGCUAGUUGGUGAGGUAACGGCUCACCAAGGCCACGAUGCAUAGCCGACCUGAGAGGGUGAUCGGCCACAUUGGGACUGAGACACGGCCCAAACUCCUACGGGAGGCAGCAGUAGGGAAUCUUCGGCAAUGGACGAAAGUCUGACCGAGCAACGCCGCGUGAGUGAAGAAGGUUUUCGGAUCGUAAAACUCUGUUGUUAGAGAAGAACAAGGAUGAGAGUAACUGUUCAUCCCUUGACGGUAUCUAACCAGAAAGCCACGGCUAACUACGUGCCAGCAGCCGCGGUAAUACGUAGGUGGCAAGCGUUGUCCGGAUUUAUUGGGCGUAAAGCGAGCGCAGGCGGUUUCUUAAGUCUGAUGUGAAAGCCCCCGGCUCAACCGGGGAGGGUCAUUGGAAACUGGGAGACUUGAGUGCAGAAGAGGAGAGUGGAAUUCCAUGUGUAGCGGUGAAAUGCGUAGAUAUAUGGAGGAACACCAGUGGCGAAGGCGGCUCUCUGGUCUGUAACUGACGCUGAGGCUCGAAAGCGUGGGGAGCAAACAGGAUUAGAUACCCUGGUAGUCCACGCCGUAAACGAUGAGUGCUAAGUGUUGGAGGGUUUCCGCCCUUCAGUGCUGCAGCUAACGCAUUAAGCACUCCGCCUGGGGAGUACGACCGCAAGGUUGAAACUCAAAGGAAUUGACGGGGGCCCGCACAAGCGGUGGAGCAUGUGGUUUAAUUCGAAGCAACGCGAAGAACCUUACCAGGUCUUGACAUCCUUUGACCACUCUAGAGAUAGAGCUUCCCCUUCGGGGGCAAAGUGACAGGUGGUGCAUGGUUGUCGUCAGCUCGUGUCGUGAGAUGUUGGGUUAAGUCCCGCAACGAGCGCAACCCUUAUUGUUAGUUGCCAUCAUUUAGUUGGGCACUCUAGCAAGACUGCCGGUGACAAACCGGAGGAAGGUGGGGAUGACGUCAAAUCAUCAUGCCCCUUAUGACCUGGGCUACACACGUGCUACAAUGGGAAGUACAACGAGUCGCGAAGUCGCGAGGCUAAGCUAAUCUCUUAAAGCUUCUCUCAGUUCGGAUUGUAGGCUGCAACUCGCCUACAUGAAGCCGGAAUCGCUAGUAAUCGCGGAUCAGCACGCCGCGGUGAAUACGUUCCCGGGCCUUGUACACACCGCCCGUCACACCACGAGAGUUUUAACACCCGAAGUCGGUGAGGUAACCUUUGAGCCACCGCU